rnacentral:tRNA from 1 species
CAGGUAGCUCAGUUGGUAGAGCAGUGGACUGAAAAUCCGCGUGUCGCUGGUUCAAGUCCGGCCCUGGG